UGAACGCUGGCGGCGUGCCUAAUACAUGCAAGUCGAGCGAACAGACGAGGAGCUUGCUCCUCUGACGUUAGCGGCGGACGGGUGAGUAACACGUGGAUAACCUACCUAUAAGACUGGGAUAACUUCGGGAAACCGGAGCUAAUACCGGAUAAUAUAUUGAACCGCAUGGUUCAAUAGUGAAAGACGGUUUUGCUGUCAUUUAUAGAUGGAUCCGCGCCGCAUUAGCUAGUUGGUAAGGUAACGGCUUACCAAGGCAACGAUGCGUAGCCGACCUGAGAGGGUGAUCGGCCACACUGGAACUGAGACACGGUCCAGACUCCUACGGGAGGCAGCAGUAGGGAAUCUUCCGCAAUGGGCGAAAGCCUGACGGAGCAACGCCGCGUGAGUGAUGAAGGUCUUCGGAUCGUAAAACUCUGUUAUUAGGGAAGAACAAAUGUGUAAGUAACUAUGCACGUCUUGACGGUACCUAAUCAGAAAGCCACGGCUAACUACGUG
rnacentral:rRNA from 1 species